UACGGAGGGUGCAAGCGUUGUUCGGAAUUACUGGGCGUAAAGCGCGUGUAGGCGGUUCGGUAAGUCGGUUGUGAAGGCCCCGAGCUCAACUCGGGAAUUGCGUCCGAAACUGCCGGACUGGAGUCCCGGAGAGGAAGGCAGAAUUCCCAAUGUAGGGGUGAAAUCCGUAGAUAUUGGGAGGAAUACCGGCUGCGAAGGCGGCCUUCUGGACGGUGACUGACGAUGAGACGCGAAAGAGUGGGGAGCAAACAGG
rnacentral:rRNA from 1 species